AAGCGCCUACAGCGCGCGUCGUCCUCCAUCGCCCACGGUUCGAAUCCCCCUCUUCUCUCCUUCUCCCCUGUUUCUCUUUUUCUCCCUCAGAUCCGGCGCUCCUCCUUGCCACAGCACGCGGCGGCGCUCCACCUCGCCGCCGCCGGCCCCUCCCUUCCCUGACCGUCGUCGGCCCCCCUUCCUCGACGUGUUGCCGGCCCAAGCGGCCGGCGCGGGCGAGCGAGGCUGGCACAUGCGAGUGGCGCUAGCCACAGCGCGCGGCAGCACUCGGCACGGGCAAGGGCGGCGCGGCGAGCGAGGCCAUGGCGGCCUGCACUGUUGGUUUAUCAUCUCGCCUAGAUGACUCGAUGGCCGCCGCCGGCGCGCCAGCGCAACGAAGGAAGGAAGAUCACAGGCCCUGCGAUCUUCACAGCUACCUGCGGCUCGCAACCGAAAGGACAAAAAGAGGUGCCGCGCAUGGAAGGAUCAAUGUUUCCUCCAUCAAUACGUGCGACUGGGAGCGCGGAGGACCGGCGGAAAUUUAACUCAGUUUGCCCCUGGUUUUGGGCGUGCAGGAGUUUUGGGAUGUUGAUUGGGCAACUGUUGGAGACAGAUUUUUUGUAUUUAGUGCUAAAACUAGAUUUUCACAAUUUGUUUUGGGCACUCUUGGAGAUGCUCCUUCCUCCAUGCAUUGUUUUGGAAAGAUCAGCUUGAUUGAUUGAAACCCUUCGAUUUCCAAUUUUAUCUAAUGUGUCAUAUGUGCAAGGUGUU